rnacentral:lncRNA from 1 species
AAUAUUUAUCAAAUAUAAAACUAACUGAACAAAACAUAAAACAUACUUUAAGUUAGGCUUGAACGUUUAGGUACCCGUUGCGAUACGGGUUGGGUAUUUAGAAUUUUGGUUCUAAUUUAUAUCACAUCAUAGGUCUCAUUCAUGGUAAAUUUGUAAGUAUAUCAGGUUCAAAUAUAAAACAUCAAUUUUUCUUCUAAAUAGUAUCACAUCUAAAAUCCAUAAAAGUAACCAUAUAUUGUUUCUAUUCAGGUUAUAUGGGUUUAGUUUAGAUAUAUUCGAAGUUUAAUCCAAAAUUGAAAAGCAAAAUAUAAGAAAUAAACUUAUUUAUAUAGAAUUAGAUAUUUAAGGUACUUAUUGAAGAUUUAAAUAC